rnacentral:rRNA from 1 species
GCAUAUAAGUAAGCGGAGGAAAAGGAACUAAACAGGAUUCCCUUAGUAAUGGCGAACGAACAGGGAUCAGCUUGGGUUGGAAACCGGGGCUUCUGCCUUGGAUUGUGGCCUUUAGACAUAUUACCAACGGCGGCGCGAGCGUAAGCCUCUUGGAACAGAGCGUCUACGUGGGUGAGAAUCCUGUGUUUCGCUUGAUGCCCGCCGUGCACGGUACUUGCUCUCAGAGUCACGCUCCUCGGAAUUGGAGCGUAAAUUGGGUGGUAAAUUUCAUCUAAAGCUAAAUACAGGCUCGAGACCGAUAGCAAACAAGUACCAUGAGGGAAAGAUGAAAAGGACUUUGAAAAGAGAGUUAAAAGUGCUUGAAAUCGCUGAACUGGAAGCGAAUGGAACUAGUGCUCUGGUUGAGAUUGCUGCAAGUGGCUGCGACAUCUGGGCUCUGGAACGCAAAUCCUUUGUCUGGUUUGAAGUAGUUGCUUGUAAUGUGUCUCAGCUUGAACAUCAGCGUCUAUGCAUACGUGAGGAUGGCCCUUAGCUCAUGCUGUGUUGCUGUGGCGAUACUCUUGUGCUUUUGGGGAUUCAGGUGUGUGUGGAUUGUUGAUCAAUUAGUUCCAUUCGACCCGUCUUGAAACACGGACCAAGGAG